rnacentral:rRNA from 1 species
UAGAGUUUGAUCCUGGCUCAGGAUAAACGCUGGCGGCGUGCCUAACACAUGCAAGUCGAACGUCUUGUUUUGUUUCGGCAAGACAGGGAGUGGCGGACGGGUGAGUAACACAUGGGUGACCUGGCCCGAAGUGAGGGAUACCGGCGAGAAAUCGCCGACAAGCCCGCAUAGGCUCUGGGUGCUGAGACAGCCAGAGCAAAGGUUCUUUUCGGAGGGCCGCUUCGGGAUGGGCCUGUGGCCGAUUAGCUAGUUGGUGGGGUAAAAGCCUACCAAGGCGACCAUCGGUAGCUGGUCUGAGAGGACGAACAGCCACACUGGGAUUGAGAACGGCCCAGACUCCUACGGGGGGCAGCAGUGAGGAAUUUUCGGCAAUGGAGGCAACUCUGACCGAGCAACGCCGCGUGCAGGAGGACGCUUUUCGGAGUGUAAACUGCUUUUCUGUGGGACGAGCAUGGACGGUACCACAGGAAGAAGCCCCGGCUAACUACGUGCCAGCAGCCGCGGUAAUACGUAGGGGGCGAGCGUUGUCCGGAGUUACUGGGCGUAGAGGGCAUGCAGGCGGUCAGGCGCGUUUUGUGUGACAGCGGAGGGCUUCACUCUCCGAGCAUGCGAAAGACGGUUUGACUUGAGGACUCGAGAGGGACACGGAAUUCCGGGUGGAGUGGUGAAUGCGUAGAGAUCCCGAGGAACACCGAAUGCGAAGCAGUGUCCUGGCGAGUGACUGACGCUGAGGUGCGAAAGCCAGGGGUAGCGAACGGGAUUAGAUACCCCGUAGUCCUGGUCCGUUAACGAUGACCAGCUAGGUGUGGGGAGGUAUCGACUCCUCUGUGCAGUCAGUACACUUUGAGCUGUCCGCCUGGGAGUACGUCGCAGAUUCAAAGCUCAAAGAAUUGGACCGGGACCCGUCCCAGCA